rnacentral:rRNA from 1 species
AGACGGGGCCCGCACAAGCGGAGGAACAUGUGGUUUAAUUCGAUGAUACGCGAGGAACCUUACCUGGGCUUAAAUGUAGAGUGCAUUCCCGAGAAAUCGGGAUUUUCUUCGGAACUCUUUGCAAGGUGCUGCAUGGUUGUCGUCAGCUCGUGCCGUGAGGUGUCGGGUUAAGUCCCAUAACGAGCGCAACCCUUAUCGUUAGUUGCCAGCGGGUAAUGCCGGGAACUCUAGCGAAACUGCCGGUGUAAACCGUGAGGAAGGUGGGGAUGACGUCAAGUCAUCAUGGCCUUUAUGUCCAGGGCUACACACGUGCUACAAUGGCGCAUACAGAGGGCAGCGAAGCCGUGAGGUGGAGCGAAUCUUGUCAAAGUGCGCCUCAAUUCGGAUUGCAGUCUGCAACUCGACUGCAUGAAGUUGGAAUCGCUAGUAAUCGCGGAUCAGCAAAGCCGCGGUCGAAUACGUUCCCGGGCCUU